rnacentral:rRNA from 1 species
UACGAAGGGGGGCUAGCGUUGUUCGGAAUUACUGGGCGUAAAGCGUGCGCAGGCGGUUUCCCAAGUCAGUGGUGAAAGCCCGGAGCUCAACUCCGGAACUGCCAUUGAAACUGUGAAGCUCGAGGACGAGAGAGGUGAGUGGAAUUCCCAGUGUAGAGGUGAAAUUCGUAGAUAUUGGGAAGAACACCAGUGGCGAAGGCGGCUCACUGGCUCGGUAACUGACGCUCAUGCACGACAGCGUGGGGAUCAAACAGG